CCGGCACGGGUGAGUAACACGUAUCCAACCUGCCGUCUACUCUUGGACAGCCUUCUGAAAGGAAGAUUAAUACAAGAUAGCAUCAUGAGUUCACAUGUUCACAUGAUUAAAGGUAUUCCGGUAGACGAUGGGGAUGCGUUCCAUUAGAUAGUAGGCGGGGUAACGGCCCACCUAGUCUUCGAUGGAUAGGGGUUCUGAGAGGAAGGUCCCCCACAUUGGAACUGAGACACGGUCCAA
rnacentral:rRNA from 1 species